AUUUGUCUGAUAACAGCAACCAUCAUGAAAACCUCUGCCAAAAUUACAACAUUGCCUAAAGAACCACAGCAUUAUGCAAAACUCACAGUUCUUCUCAGAAAAAAAAAUCAACCGUGGCUACCAGAAUAUUAAAAGCUACAGUUUAGCUGUAGAAGAAUUUCAGAAUCCUACUUCAGAAAAAUGCCCCACUCAGCUAAAGACUUGAGGAAAAUGCUUCAUCAUUUGGACUGAAUGAAAGUUAUACUAACAAACUGUCACUGCAAUCAUCUGAGGUUUUUGAAACAUCCAAUACAUUAUUGUUGCUGGUUCACCCUACCACACCUGAACUCCAUGCUUCAGUCCAACUGUAACUUAUUCACCAUCUCUUCCCACCGCCACUCCCAAGCUCAGUACUGGGGAUAUAAUGAUGGGCAAGACUAACACAUCCUUCACCUUGAGAGAAGUUGUAGUCAAAUUGUUUUGCAUACCAGUUUCUGAAA